GAUGAACGCUGGCGGCGUGCCUAAUACAUGCAAGUCGAGCGAACAGACGAUGAGCUUGCUCCUCUGACGUUAGCGGCGGACGGGCGAGUAACGCGUGGAUAACCUACUUAUAUUUCGGGGAUAAUAUCGGGAAACCGGAUACAAUACCAGAGAAUAUAUUGAACCGCAUGGUUCAAUAGUGAAUGACGGCUUUGCUGUCACUUAUAGCUGGAUCCGCGCCGGAUUAGCUAGUUGGUAAGGUAACGGCUUACCAAGGCGACGAUGCGUGGCCGACCUGAGAGGGUGAUCGGCCACACUGGAACUGAGACACGGUCCAGACUCCUACGGGAGGCAGCAGUAGGGAAUCUUCGGCAAUGGGCGAAAGCCUGACGGAGCAACGCCGCGUGAGUGAUGAAGGUCUUCGGGUCGUAAAACUCUGUUAUUAGGGAAGAACAACUGUGUAAGUAAAUAUGGCCGUAUUGACGGUACCUAAUCAGAAAGCAACGGCUAACUACGUG
rnacentral:rRNA from 1 species